AUUGACGCCAUUGACCUGCUCAACAGUUAAGUCUCCACCCACCCACACUUACUUCAUGCACAGCUGUGGCAUUUGGUGGACUUCCACAGGUAUCUAAGUCACCAGCUAUCAAGUCUGAGAUCAAGUACAGACCCAUGAUGGUCAAGCUAUAAGGCUCCUACAAUAUCGCACAGCUGGUCCUCCGCAUCUCAGCAUUAAGAUAACCAAAUGUCAACACAGUAAAAUUAUCAUUUUCUAUCGAUGGAAGAGGAAAAGGAGGAACAUGUAAAAUGACCCAAAAGAAGAGGGAGGAGGAGGAGGGGAAGACAAGAAACAGAGUGGAAAAGAAGAAGAAAUUAAGAAGACGAGGAGGAGAUGAGGCUGUGGAGAGUAAAAAGGAAGAAGGACGAAUAUGAAAAGAAAUGGAGAUCAAAGAGGAAGGCUGAGGAGGAGAAGGAGGAGAAGGAGGAGACGGGGCCGGGGAACC